rnacentral:rRNA from 1 species
CAGCAGCCGCGGUAAUACGGAGGGCGCGAGCGUUACCCGGAUUUACUGGGCGUAAAGGGCGUGUAGGCGGCCUGGGGCGUCCCAUGUGAAAGGCCACGGCUCAACCGUGGAGGAGCGUGGGAUACGCUCAGGCUAGAGGGUGGGAGAGGGUGGUGGAAUUCCCGGAGCAGCGGUGAAAUGCGCAGAUACCGGGAGGAACGCCGAUGGCGAAGGCAGCCACCUGGUCCACUUCUGACGCUGAGGCGCGAAAGCGUGGGGAGCAAACCGGAUUAGAUACCCGCGUAGUCCCUGUCUCUUAUAC